rnacentral:rRNA from 1 species
AACGAACGCUGGCGGCAGGCUUAACACAUGCAAGUCGAACGGGUGCAGCAAUGCAUCAGUGGCAGACGGGUGAGUAACACGUGGGAACCUUCCUAGGGGUACGGAACAACUCAGGGAAACUUGAGCUAAUACCGUAUACGUCCGUGAGGAGAAAGAUUUAUCGCCCUUAGACGGGCCCGCGUCGGAUUAGCUGGUUGGUGGGGUAGCGGCCUACCAAGGCGACGAUCCGUAGCUGAUCUUAGAGGAUGAUCAGCCACACUGGGACUGAGACACGGCCCAGACUCCUACGGGAGGCAGCAGUGGGGAAUCUUGGACAAUGGGCGCAAGCCUGAUCCAGCCAUGCCGCGUGAGUGAAGAAGGUCUUCGGAUUGUAAAGCUCUUUUGCCAGGGACGAUAAUGACGGUACCUGGAGAAUAAGCCCCGGCAAACUUCGUGCCAGCCGCCGCAGUAA